rnacentral:rRNA from 1 species
GACGAACGCUGGCGGCGUGCUUAACACAUGCAAGUCGAGCGGUAAGGCCCUUUCGGGGGUACACGAGCGGCGAACGGGUGAGUAACACGUGGGUGACCUGCCCUCAGCUCUGGGAUAAGCCUGGGAAACCGGGUCUAAUACUGGAUAUGACUCCAUGACGCAUGUUGUGGGGUGGAAAGCCUUGUGCGGCUGAGGAUGGGCCCGCGGCCUAUCAGCUUGUUGGUGGGGUGAUGGCCUACCAAGGCGACGACGGGUAGCCGGCCUGAGAGGGCGACCGGCCACACUGGGACUGAGACACGGCCCAGACUCCUACGGGAGGCAGCAGUGGGGAAUCUUGCGCAAUGGGCGAAAGCCUGACGCAGCGACGCCGCGUGAGGGAUGACGGCCCGUCGGUA